rnacentral:rRNA from 1 species
AUGGCGGCGCUGGACCUGCCAGUGAAAACCAUCGAAGCUGCAAAUAAGAUAUGUCGUGGUUUCCUGUGGAAGGGACGCCGAGACGUGCAUGGCGGUCAUUGUCUAGUGGCAUGGGAUCAGAUAUGCACGCCAAAGGAAUAUGGUGGCCUCGGCAUUCCGAAUUUGUGCAUUCUCAACGCCGCACUCCGAGCAAGAUGGCCUUGGCUAAUGCGAACGGAGCGCGACCGGCCAUGGCAUGAGUUCAACAUUCAAGUUUCGCUGGACUCCUUGAGCAUAUACAAGGCGGAGACGAAGUGCACGAUAGGAAAUGGAGAGGUGGCUUUGUUCUGGACAGACUGGUGGCUAUGGGAUGGAAGAAUCCAAGACCUCAUGCCAAAUCUAUUCGCUGCAGUCAAAAGGAGAGCGCAGAAGCGAACAGUGAGACAAGCCAUA